ensembl:lncRNA
AUAGAAGUCCUGCUAAAGCAUUUCAUCCACUUCGUAGUAAAGGAGGCAGUGGGAGGUGUGGGAGAGGAGAAGGAGAGUUUGAUCUAAAAAGCCUGAGAGCAACAGCACUUUUCUAUAUAUCAUGCUUAGUUUGGCUUCUUGCUCUGUGUAAUCCUUUCACUUCAACAUUUUUUGUUAGAAAGAGAAGAUAGUCAGCAAUCUUCUGUGCAUAAAGAUUUAGUUGCUAAUCUGGGUUCUUCCUGAAACACAACUAUUGCAGCUCUGUUAACUUCAAUAUAAAUAUUUUUUAUUUUACACCAGGGAAACUGAAAGAAAUUAAUCAAAAACUCCGAGUGCAGUAGAAAUGAAAAUAAAAUAAAGAAGAAAUAAAGCAGUUUCAUAUUACAUGGAAAAUAUUCAAGCGACCGUAAUAGUCAAAGUACUAAAGGAAUAGUUUAAAAUCAGCUUCUCUGUCACACAUCUCAGUAAUAGCUCACAUACAGAGGCUUCUUGGUCCUGCUUGUGUUUAGAAUGCCUUUUUCAGAUGAUUAUCUCCGAGUUCGGUAGCUUCUAGUUUGUAAUAUUUUACACUGUCCGCUUUUCUCAAGUGCUUAGUUAACUUUGAAGGAGUAUGGAUGAUGGUGUUUGUAACAAAAGUAAGGCUACUGCAGCUUUGCCGCGUCCAAAAUGCGAUGCUGGGACCGGUAGAAGACAGCAGAGUGGAUUUCUGCCGCUCUCUGGUGGACAGUCCUACUCACAGGUAUUUCUUUACCAGCAGAAGAAGGCAGCAUGUGUUUCUAAUGGACUUAGAGCACAAAGUGUGUCUUUUGGUCUACUGCUGGAGCUGGAGCUCUUUCUCUACAUUUAAUAGGAAGGCAAAGUAGUCCUCAUGAUUUCCCCAACUUUCUUUCAUGGAAACAAUGCAUUCUAGCAAGCACUUAAACAGUGAAAAUUUCUACUAAGUCCAGAAGGUGAAGAAAAUUUGACAAUACAUAAAACACCAACUAUAGAAGCUGUCUCCGUCCCUCAAAACCCAGAUGAGAAAACAGUUGUCUGAUAGCUGUAUACUACGCAAAAUUCACUUGUAAAUGCCAACAGUAUAAAUUCUUGUAUUUUUUGAUUUGGCUGAAAAAGUAAUUCAAACUUCAUGAAUCCUUGUUCCUAUACUCAGACAAAA